UACGACUUCUACCUGUGCAGCCACAACGGGCUGAUCGGGACGAGCCGGCCGACGCACUACUACAGCCUUCUGGACGAGCACGGCUUCGCCUCCGACGACCUGCAGAAGCUGGUGUACAACCUCUGCUUCGUCUUCGCCCGCUGCACCAAGCCGGUGUCGCUGGCCACGCCCGUCUACUACGCCGACCUCGCCGCCUACCGCGGCAGGCUCUACUACGAGGGCAUGAUGAUGUCGCAGCCGCCACCGUCUUCCGCGGCGUCGGCGUCGUCGGCAUCCUCCUCCGGCGCCGGCGCUUCCGACUUCAGGAGCUUCCCGGCGCUGCACGAGGAUCUGGUGGACAACAUGUUCUUCAUCUGACGACAGCCUUUCGUCGCAUGGUCCGGUGGUCUCUCUCUGUUCUUAGUUUACCUCUUACUGCGUGGAGUCUCAGGUCAUAGACUCAUUAGUCACAGACUCACAGGUUGUCUAUCUUUUGACUUUUGUUGACCGUGUCGUCGGUCUUGGUAGUUGGUAGUCUUAUACAUACUGUUGAGGCUGCAUUAUGGUUGCACAAGAAAGUUUAAGAGUACUAUACUGGUACUCUGUAUUUUGCAAUUCUCGUGCGGAUGCUAUGGAGUAGGAUGUUUCUAGAACACGGCUGUUCCGCUACUGACUUCGAGACGGGGCCCAGAACGGAGUCGCCACGGCUAGGAAAGCCGAAAGCGGGAAAAGAAAAUUCUCGUUUUGCUCCUUCCUACUGUAGUCCUUUUCCAUUCUGCCCCUCCGAUUACUUGAGUACUUUCUUUGUUUCAAAGCAAAUAUAAAUAUACGGUUUAAAUUCGUAGUACUAGAACGUGUCACCUUCUAUACUAGUUUUGUUCAUUAUGCGAUAGAGUGAGUAGUACAUACUAGGAGCUUUAUCGGUUUUUUAAAAAAUAAGUCAAAGCAGAAAUAAUUUUGGAGUUGAUUUUUAAGAUAUUUUUGAUGUAGUUUAUUUUUUUAUAGACUUUUAAGUUAUUAGAAACAUAUAUUAAAAUUGUAUACGUACAUUAUUUUUUGGACAUUAAUAAGCUCUUAUGAUUUGUAAUUAACUUUUAGACAACUGAUGAGACUCUCCUGCAAGGCUGCAAUCCAGGCCUGUAAGAAGAAAUGGUUCAAAUUACUACCUAGAUAGGCUAGAUUGCUUAUUGCUACCUGCUCGAAAUCGAAUACAGUAGCUCAUUAGUACUUUGCUUGUGUUACACGUCUUAUUUUCCAAUUUGGACAUAACACGGGGAUCUAACAGAAAAAAGGCCACAUCCCAAAUUCUGGACUUCCCAAUUAUUCCUACCCAAGAUGACUCCACGCGGCAGGUUGCCAACGUCCACUUGACUCGUGUAAACUCCUCAUGUCCCACUUUGUCCCUCUUAGCGCAACAAAAUUGCUGCCGGAGCACACAGAAACUUGCCAUCCGUCAGGGGCAAAAUCGUAUUUUCGCACAUAAUUCUCGUGCCCAAGCAAAAUUCACCUGCGCGCCCUCCUCCUAUAACUACCCCUCGCUGCCAUCUUCGAUCCCCUCCUCCUCCUCCUCUGCUCUAGCGAAAGCCGAGAGAGAGAGAGAAAAAAAUCCGUCACGAAAUCCACACGCUUCUGAGUUCUGAUCUGUGGGUUCGAGUUCACGGCGGAGAUGGCCGGUCGCGGUGGCCGCGACCCCCGGAGAGGCUACGACGGCGGCUACGGGUACCCGAGAGGCGGAGGAGGGCAAGGGGGUACUAACCGGGGAAGAGACGGGCAGCGCGGUGGAGGAAGAAACGGGCCUCGCGGAGGACGCUUUCCCGGUGGAAGAGGAGUCGAGCCUCGCAGAGGCGGCGAUGUUCUGGGAGGAGGCCAAGGCGGUGGGCGGGGGACUACUGCUGGUGCUGGUGGUCUUGUGCGAGGAGGGUCCGAGCUCGCAGUGGGAGCGGAACUGCGGCGGCGCGUGCCCACCUGCCACGUGAACGACUUCCCGGAGUUGGGGAUUGGGGGGACGCCCGUGCUCGUUCGGCGAUGGCGCCCGCGCGACCACCGAGACCAGCACGACCACCAGAGCCAGCGUCACCACCACCGCCACCACCACCACCAGCGCCAGCGUCACCACCACCACCACCAGCGCCAGCAGCGAAGGGGAUCCAGGACGAGGGAUCCUCGAGUUCGUCGUGGUCCGUUGGUAAGUUCCUCUCCUGAUUCAAUCGGUGCUUUAAUUUUGUGCGGUUUGGCAUGUUUGCUCUGUUCCUUGGCAUUAGGAAUGUUGGAAACUGAUCGAUCAAGUGGUCGAUCUGGGGUUUUGCACUUUCGAGAUAGUAUAUUAAUCUACGCAGAGUUUGAUUUCGCCUAUUCAUGCGAGUGAUCUGGGUUGUGUUUUCUGCUGUUUCGAUGAUUUUUUUUCGAACAAGAUGCUGUUUCGAUGAUAAGAGUAGAAGCAGAGGGAUGCCGAUUUUGCACUAGAACGGUCCUUGUGCUUCUGAAUGCAUUUGAUCACGAUUUUAUUGCUGAUGUCACGAAACACCGUAGGGGAGCAUUUGGAUUUCAGAAAUUACAUAAGACGGGUGUUAUUCUUCCUUGAAUGUGAAUCGGAUGCAACAUUUACUGUCAUUUUACUUUGGGAAAACGUUGUGCAAAUGCAGAAUUUCUAGGGGUUUUUCACAGCUUGGUGAUCCAUUUUUUUUCGAAGUUCUAACUGCAUUACUGCACGUGAAGUGCCUCUCCUGAUUCAAUCGGUCCUUUGUGCGGUUUGCAAUGUUUACUCUGCUCCUUACUAGCAUUAUGAAUGUUCGAAACUGAUUGAUCAAGUGGUUGAUCUGGGGUUUAGUUCUUUCGAGAGGGUUUAGUACUUCCGACAUUGCAUAUUAAUCUGCACAUAGUUUGAUUUCGCUUUCAUGCGAGUGAUCUGAGCUCUGUUUCCCGUGGUGUGUCGAUGAGACGAUGAUAGAGUAGAAGCAGAUCGAGAUAUGUUGAUUUUGCACUAGUAUGAUGUGAAUCUGAAUGUACGAUCAAUUUUUCUUUUGUUGAUGAUGUGUCGAUGAUAGAGUAGAAGCAGAUCGAGAUAUGUUGAUUUUGCACUAGUAUGAUGUGAAUCUGAAUAUACGAUCAAUUUUUUUUUGUUGACGUCACGUACCAUCAACAUUUUUUUUUCUAAAGGCAGGGUUGCAUUUAGAUUUCAGAAAAUUCAUAGGAAGAGUAAUUCCUUGCUUGAAUGUGAAUCAUAUUACUUUAGGGGGAAUAUCGAUCUACAGUUUGGUGAUCCCUUCUGUUCUAGUUUUAAGUUUAACUACACGUUGAGUUGGUGGGUUUGCUUGUGUAAACUUGACAUUCUCUGUUUCUAACCACUCUUCCGUUUCCUUUAGAGCGCAUUCCCUACGGUGAGGAUGAAAAAGAAGAACCACCGGCAACCCCAAUUGCUUCCAGUAACAAGAAUAAAAGAGAAGAACCACCUACCAAACAUAGGCCAAUGGCAAGACCACCUGGUGGUGGAGGUCCAUUAUCUAAAGGCGAGGUCAAAUUGUUGGUGAACCAUUUUUCAGUCGACUACCCAAAGGAAUCAACCUUUUUUCACUAUGAAAUACGAAUCAAGCUUGGUGACGGUCCCAACAGAAAGCUCUCAAAGGCAGAGCUUCUUACAGUCAAGAAUGAGCUCUUCGAGCACGAGAGCCUUCAGGAGCUUUCGUCAGCUGUUGCUUAUGAUGGAGAGAGAAAUUUAUACACUUGUGCUGAACUACCAGAAGACUGCAUAGUCCCUGUGAGCAAAUUCCGUGUGAAGGACAGUUCACGGACCUACAUUGUAUCAGUGAAGUUGAAGAAGCCGCUGCCUUUAAGCCAACUCUUGGAGCAGCGGCCUGGGCCUAGAGAUGUCAUGCAGGGCCUUGAUGUCAUUGUGCGUGAGGCAUCUAGCUUCGGCAAGAUUGUCCUUGGUCAGGGAUUUUACCCGCAGAGCGGCAGUGAGGCCAUCAGUGAUAGCAAUAUUGUAGCUCUCAAAGGAACCCAGCAGAGCCUUAAAUGCACUCAGAAAGGGCUGAUCCUGUGUGUGGACUAUUCGGUUUUGCCAUGUUGGAAAGCUGGAUCUGUGUUGGACCUUGUUAAGACUAUGAAGUUCAUGGAAUACCCGCUCUUGGAAGACCAAUUGAAAAAAUUGAACAAUGCGCUCAAAGGCCUGUGUGUUACUGUAAGUCACAGGAAGACUGAGGAGAAGUACACUGUUAAAGGCUUGACAGAUAAACCUGCCGACCAGAUAACUUUUAAAGACUCUAAAUCAGGACAGACGACGAAGCUUAUCGAGUACUAUAAGGAGACGUAUAAGAAAGAGAUUGAGCAUCCGAUGCUUCCAUGCUUGGAUUUGAGCAAGAGCAAGUCCAAACAAAACUAUGUGCCGAUUGAAUUUUGUAAUAUUCCUGAAGGGGAGAGGUAUCCAGUGGCGAGGUUAGAUGACAAGAAGUCUGAUAAUAAGGGCGAACAAGAGAAGCCAUCUACAAAGACGACACUGAGAAAAAUUUCUAUAAAGGUUGCCUCUAGUCGGAAGGAGGAGAUUCUGGACUUGGUGGGGAAUGCUCAAGAUGGGCCUUGCAGGUAUCUGUUUGAGUUUCGACCCCUUUCCACUUUUUGCAAACGUCUAACUAUCGUCAUCCCUAAUAUUAACAUGUUGCUACGAUUAAUGAGUAGUAGGGUCAUAUACUCAAUGAGAACUUCUCUGCAUAAACAACCUGCUACCACAAAACUUGUGCUGAACUGCUGAUGCUGUAAUUGUGUGAAACCUGAUCUUCGAACAAAGAUAUGCAUUUGCUUAUUCCCGUAAACUCGUGCUGAUGCUAUAUAUCGGUAAAAGAAACAAGAGACUUCAACUGCUUACUGUGUUGGGGUCAACUCGUUGCUCUGCUUACCUUUAUCUUCAUGAUAUUCAACUGUUCAACUGAUAAUUAGCUUAAUUUUGAUCUUUAUCAUUUUAUUUUGGAGAAAAUGAGUUGAUCUUGAUCUGUUUAAUUUCAACUAUAGAACUAUAGAGAGAGCUAAUGUAUCUUGUCAGGCGCUAACUUACUGUUUUAAUUCCAGGGGAAAAAUAGCUCAGCGAUUCAGGAUUUCUUUAGAUGCAGCAAUGAUGGAAGUCACUGGUAGGAUUCUUGCUCCCCCCACCCUAGAACUUGGCACUGGCACCUCCAGAGGCCAGACCUUCAAAUUCACUAUUCAUCAGGAUGACUGCCAGUGGAACUGGAAGCUUAAAAAAUACGAUAAACGAGUAGUAGCACAUGGCGGGACUCUUAACUGCUGGGGCGUCGUCGAUUUCAGUGAAGGCGACCUAGAGAGCAAGUUUAUUGACAAGGUUGUCAGGAAGUGCUCCGCCCUUGGCAUGGUCAUGACCCGUAAACCAUGCUAUGAGCAUGUGUCAAAUAUGGAAGUGCUAUCCGAUCCAAAGAGCCUCAGAGAUGCGCUUAUCGAAGCGAAGCGUGCCGCGGAGGAGGAAGACAAGAAGCUGCAGCUCCUCUUCUGCCCGAUGCUCAACCGGUGCCAUGGGUACAAGACCCUGAAGUUGAUGUGCGAGACGGAGCUGGGGAUCCAGACCCAGUGCUUCUUGAGCACCGCCGCAAAACUCGACGAAAAACGACAGGACCAGUACAUUACCAACCUUGCUCUGAAGAUCAACGGCAAGAUCGGGGGUAGCAACAUGCAGCUCGACCCGGACUCGAUCCCAGUGGUGUCCGCCAAGGAUUUCAUGUUCAUCGGUGCGGACGUGAACCACCCUCCGCCUGGGAAUGUCAGUAAGGACAUCCCGUCCAUAGCAGCCGUGGUGGCCUCCGUUGAUAAAGGCGCCAGCAAGUACGUGACAAGGAUCCGCGCCCAGUAUCACCGGUGCGAGAUGAUCCAGAACCUCGGUGAUAUCUGCAAGGAGCUCAUCGGCGCGUAUGAGAAGGUAAACAAGAAGAAGCCUGAUAGCAUCAUCUACUUCCGCGACGGCGUCAGUGACGGUCAGUUCGACAUGGUGCUGAACGAGGAGCUGGCGGACAUGGAGAAUAAGAUCAUGGUGGGUGACUACCCGAAGAUCACCGUGAUCGUUGCCAAGAAGAGGCACCACACGCGGCUGUUCCCCAAGGACAGGAACCAGCGGCAGACCAAGAACGGCAACGUGCUCCCCGGCACGGUGGUGGACACCGACGUGGUCGACCCGACGGCGUACGACUUCUACCUGUGCAGCCACAAGGGGGAGGUCGGGACGAGCCGGCCGACGCACUACUACAGCCUUCUGGACGAGCACGGCUUCGCCUCCGACGACCUGCAGAAGCUGGUGUACAACCUCUGCUUCGUCUUCGCCCGCUGCACCAAGCCGGUGUCGCUGGCCACUCCCGUCUACUACGCCGACCUCGCCGCCUACCGCGGCAGGCUCUACUACGAGGGCAUGAUGAUGUUGCAGCCGG
rnacentral:lncRNA from 1 species